AGAGACGUCAGCCCUGGAUUCCAGGUGAACCAUUCAGGGCUCAGGCUGACCCAGAGCACUCACCAUGGAGCUGGGGCUGCACUGGGUUCUCCUUGUUGUUCUGCUGAAAGGUGUGCAGUGUGAGGGGCAGCUGGUGGAGUCUGGGGGAAGCUUGGUGCAGCCUGGGGGGUCCCUGAGAUUCUCCUGUGCAGCCUCUGGAUUCGACUUCAGUGAUUACUACAUAAGCUGGCUCCGCCAGUCUGCAGGGAAGAGACCUGAGUCGCUCUCAUACAUCAGUAGUGGUAGUAGUAGCACAUACUACGCAGACUCUGUGAAGGGCCGCUUCACCAUCUCCAGAGACAACAGCAAGAACACACUUUACCUGCAGAUGAACAGCCUGAGAGUGGAGGACACGGCCGUCUAUUACUCUGCUAGAGACACACUGACUGUGCACCACCGGACCCCUCACUGUCCAGAAGAGCUUGGCGUGUUGGGCAUGCAAUCUGUGGUAGUCUCACUAGCUGCAGCCAUCCCGCACGGGCUCCACCUCCAUAUUCAGAGCUAUGGUCACAACCAGAACUCUGCAUUGGGACUCUGUGAGCUCAAGGACCUGGCAUGGAGUGCUGUGCAGAAGAGACAGUGA